UACGUAGGCAGCGAGCGUUGUUCGGAGUUACUGGGCGUAAAGGGUGUGUAGGCGGUUCUUUAAGUUUGGGGUGAAAUCUCCCGGCUCAACCGGGAGGGUGCGCCGAAAACUGAGGGACUAGAGUACGGGAGAGGAAAGUGGAAUUCCUGGUGUAGCGGUGAAAUGCGUAGAUAUCAGGAGGAACACCGGUGGUGUAGACGGCUUUCUGGACCGUAACUGACGCUGAGACACGAAAGCGUGGGUAGCAAACAGG
rnacentral:rRNA from 1 species